rnacentral:tRNA from 1 species
GCUUCUGUAGCUUAACUGACAAAGUAUCAGUUUCCGGAACUGAUGAUAGUGGUUCGAUUCCACGAGGGGAGCA